CUGACGUGGGAGGCUUCAGAAAGGAAGGCUCAGAGCAGCAAGGCCUGUGUGCGCCUGCGCUCGCUCAGGAACUCCCUUCCCUCCGCGUGUGGGGAAGUCACCUCUCUCGUAAGGGUCUUCAGGAGACGGUGAGAGAAUUCUUCAGGGCAGAAGGAAGGGAGGAGAUCAGAGAGACUCCCUGCUCCUGCCGUUUGCUCACAUGCCAAGAAAGAGACACAAGAGGGGAGACCAUGUGAAGACACAGGGAGGAGGCAACCAUCCGCAAGCAAAGGAGAGAGGCCUCAGGACAAACCAAGCCUGCC
rnacentral:lncRNA from 1 species